CUUCUUCUUCUUGCGUCUGUACACUUUGGUGUCCCCACCACAUUGUGCCCUUGAACAAUCUCCAAAGGCGUUUUACUGUGUUAAUAGCCAAACCAAAACCACUAUCACAGCCACCUAACUUGACGGAUGGAGUAAGAACUGGUGCUCACUUUAUGUUCAGUUGUUGGCUACUACAACAUUGAGAGUGGUGCUUUUCCUACUAUAGGAAGCAGAAGCAGAAGUAUGCGAUGUAGCAAUUAUUUCUUUCCUGGAAUCUGUAUAACAGGAUGAAAUAUUAUGGAGGUUACUGAGGGAUUGAAAGUGGGUGAAUGUAGAUGAAUUGUAUGUGAGGUACUUGGCAAGCUGUUUGUAGUGUGAAGAUAGAGCAAUAAGAGCACUCUAUUCGGAAGAUGUUCACAAAUUGGAGUUUGAUGCUAUUAUGGAGAGUAGAGAGGGUGCCUGUCUCUUAUCUGAGGAUGCAACUCGAGGCCAGUUAUAGAUGCUCUUUAUUUUGGAUGCAAUUGAUUAAAGAUUCAUAGAGUGCAUGUGUCAUGGAAGUGCAUCAGAGUGGAAAGUGCCAACCACCUUCAUCUACGGCGUUCAUGAUUGGAUGAAUUACCAAGGGGCUCAGGAAGCUCGUAAGCAUAUGAAGGUCCCAUGUGAAAUCAUAAGGGUUCCCGAGGCUGGUCACUUUGUAUUCAUAGACAACUUGGCAGGUUUCCACUCCGCUGUCUUUUACGCAUGUCGCAGAUUUAUUUCCCCAUCCGCCACUGAUUAUCAAUCUCUUCCUCCAGACCUUAUUUCUGCUUAAGAGUAUGUAUCUAUUAUUAUUUUGUGUGUAUUUGCCCCCUUUUUUUCUUUUUUAAAUUAAUCUUUCGUUUCUUCUCGAAGUUAAAAAACAAUUUAAAAGAUACAAAAUCAACGGUCAUCUUCUUCGGAUUUGUAAUAGAAAAAUAAAAAAAAUGAAGGUUCCGUCAUCAA